rnacentral:SRP_RNA from 2 species
GCUGGGCGUAGUGGCGGGCGCCUGUAAUCCCAGCUACUUGGGAGGCUGAGGCAGGAGAAUUGCUUGAGCCCGGGAGGCAGAGCUUGCAGUGAGCCGAGAUUGCGCCACUGCACUCCAGCCUGGGUGACAGAGCAAGACUCGGUCUCCA